rnacentral:lncRNA from 1 species
GCUGGUCCCUCCCGGUGGGCCCAUUGCUUACUCUACUUGGGCUGCCAUGCAAACUUUCACUGUUGGCGAUGUCCUUGGUAUGUGAACAAGUCUUGCUCUUUUUUGUUUUCUGUUUGAGUGAAGAGAAAGAAGAUCAGAAAUGAAAAUUUAAAAUCCUUGUUACAAAAAAAGAUGGCGUUUCAUUUUAAGAGAUUUCAAGCUUUUGUAACCUGAACUUGGGUCUUAUGAAGCAAGUUUUGCUUGUAUUUUCAGUUUUCAACUUCACUACUGGAGAGCAAGAUGUGGCCAUGGUCACCAGGGAAGCCUAUGAAACGUGCAACUCAACGAAUCCCAUUUCCCUUAAAACAAC